rnacentral:lncRNA from 1 species
GUGUGUGUAUGCAGGUCGAUCUUCAGGAAAAGAAAAAGGGGUGCAAACCCUAGUUCACCAAAAUCAACAAAUUGAAGGUCAAAUUCAGCCCAAAUCAGAUGCAUGAACACAAAUUCGUGAUCACCUAUUCGUGGGGAUCACAAGUUAGCGCUUAACAAGCUAGGAGGAAGCUUGGGGAGAAAGCGGGUCAAACGAAUCAAGUACGAGAAGAAAAGUGUAAACUGGAUAAGAGGUAAGUAAAACUUACACCUUUUUGUAGGAUACAUGUUUAUUCUAUAAGUUAGGAAUACAAUAAAGAUAAUAUUCGAAAUAUGGUUUCUGACGCGAAAAGAUACGGGUCAGAACUAAUAUAAUGAUAGAAACCAUGUUUAAUGGUAAAAUGUGUUAAACAAUAAAUUAGUCAUGAAAAGACUAAGAGAAAAUGAGUUUUGAACGGCUACUUAUUAAGUAAGCCUAAAUGAGUAAAAAGGGUAAAACGGUGUUUUAGUUACGAACGAAUAGGUAAAAGUUGAAAUAUAAAACGACACCAAUCGACAUAAGUCAUGUCGGGCUAAACGCGUAAGAAAAAGGGUUUAAGAGACAUAGCUAAAGAGGUGAAAAAUCUGAAUUGAGUUAUUUAAUGAAAUGGUAAAUAGAUACCAUUUCAAUAUAAGCACAAAGUGUUUAAUCGUUUAGACCAAACAAGUCAAAUGGUAAUAUAGAUACCAUUUGACAAAUGAUGACUAAUAAAUGCUUGUCGAGUCUUAUGCGCACAGGAUAAAACGGUUAUGAUUUAGCGGUGCUAUCAAUUAGCAUAUUAUGGAUGCAAGGUAUCAAACGGGUCAGUGUGUUGAUCCGAACCAGGUACGCAUAUUUUGUAUUGUAGUUAGAAGCAAUAUCAUGGUCAAUUAUUUGGCGAAAGCCCUUCGUCGCAAAAAGAAGGACUAAAAUUGACCAAAAAGCCCCUGAGGGGUAAAUAGGGAAAAAAAAACCUUUAUGAGUUGUUUAGAAAUAAGCGUUUUGUUAAAUUGAGGCCUUGGGAUGCAUAUAAAAUAGAGAUAGGGUGUAAACUAAAAGAUACGUGAUUUAAGCUUAAAAGUGCUAAAUACCAGUAACGGGUCAAAAUAAGUAGAUAUGCAAAACGAGUUAAGAUUUGCAUAAGAACUCGUAAUUUGAACCUUGAAUAUUAGUAAACUGAUAAAAUGUGAUUUGCAUGACAUUUCAAAGAUAACCAACAAGUUUGUUUGAUCAAAACGCCAACGGGUCAAAAAGUGUCAAAAUUGAAUUUCAAGCCGAGAGCUUGAAAUUCUAAAAUUUUGUGAGUUUAGAUGUCGGUUUUUACUCCAUGAGAUGGAGGAUUAAAUUACGGUCGCAUAGGAAAAAGGAUCGCCUAAAACGGACUAGUAGAUAAAAAGUUAUGGCCAUUUAAAGUUCGAUUUUUGUUGAAUAAUUGAGCUGGGCAGAAAAUGCAGGUUCAGAAACGGACCUGCUGGAAAUUUGUCUCGCUCGCGACACGCGACAGGGUCCCUCAAUUGGGGCGCGGCAGGCGGCAGGUGUCGUGACUCGCGACAGGUUAAAAGUUUCCUUCCGCGACACGCGGAAGGCAUGAUUUUGGGAAUUUUAUUUUGGGAUAUCAUUAUUUGACAUUGGAACAUAUUUAUACAUGUUUAUAAGCUGUCAAAACUAACUUUUAAGUUGGUUUUGAUUAUAGGUGAGUAUAGCAAGCAUCCGGAUGAUGAUCAAGAAAUCAAGUGAACCGAACACAUGUCAAAUGAAGCUUUCGCAACGACUUCACUUUGUUUUGUUUUAAGUAAACUAUGUAAACACUUGGAAUUAUAUUUUGUUUACUUUAAUCACGUAUGAACUUUGACUUACAAAGUUUUUAGAAAGUCACAUUUUACGCAUAAAAUGCGUAAUUA